UACGUAGGGCGCAAGCGUUGUCCGGAAUUAUUGGGCGUAAAGAGCUCGUAGGCGGUCUGUCGCGUCUGUUGUGAAAACUCGAGGCUCAACCUCGGGCUUGCAGUGGAUACGGGCAGACUAGAGUGCGGUAGGGGGAGAUCGGAAUUCCUGGUGUAGCGGUGAAAUGCGCAGAUAUCAGGAGGAACACCGGUGGCGAAGGCGGGUCUCUGGGCCGUAACUGACGCUGAGGAGCGAAAGCGUGGGGAGCAAACAGG
rnacentral:rRNA from 1 species